rfam:Triticum aestivum genome assembly, contig: Triticum_aestivum_CS42_TGACv1_scaffold_500381_6BL
UUACUACUCCCUCCGUCCGAAAAUAUUUGUCGGGGGAAUGGAUGUAUUUAGAUGCAAUUUAGUUCUAGAUACAUCCAUUUCCAUCAAUUUCUCCGACAAAUAUUUUCGGACGGAGGGAGUAUUUU